rnacentral:lncRNA from 1 species
CUUUAAUCAAAUUCAAAGAAACCUCAAAGGAAUUACAAAGAAACAAUAAGAAAUCUUAAAGAAAUAUUAAAAUAAUCACAAAUAUAUCUCAAAUACAUCUCAAUUCAAUCUUAAUUUAAUCCUAGUUAAAAUCCUAUUAGACUUCAUUCAAACUUUAGGCCAAAAACUAACUAAAUCUUAAAUCCUAAAUAAAUCCUAAUAAAAUCCUAAACCCUAAACUAAAUCCUAACCAAAUCCUAAAUCAAACCUUAAUCAAAUUCUAAACCUUAAAUCAAACCCUAACCAAAUCCUAAACUCUAAAUCAAAUCCUAACGAAAUUCUAAACCAAAUCCUAAAACUUGAAAUAAAUCCUAAUAAUUCCUACAACAGAUUUAAAACUCAAUUACUAAUGAAUUAACCAUUGAUCUUAACUCAAAAUUUAUAUGCUUUUUAAAAAUUAAGUUGAUAAAAAAUAAAAAAAAAUUGAAAAUGAUUGGAAUUACCAAAUAGACGAUAGCCUCAAAAAAACGUACUUGGAUAUUGGCCGGCCUCCUUCUUUGACCUUAAUACCAAUCUCUUAGAGCCAAUAUCUCUUCUUUUCACCAUUUGAUUGAUCUCAAAAUUUUCGUAUACAUAGAAAAACAAGUCUAAUAUUCUCACACACAAAUUUCACUCCAAUCCAACUAAUAGAUUGCAAGAAAUCUUAAAAAUCCUCAUUGGACCUAAAAUUCUACUUUCUGAGAUCUUGACCCACUUAAACCUCAAUAACCUUCAAUUCAACCAUUAAAUUAAGCUAAGAUUCACAACAUAUAUUAAGCACAACUAUGAACAUUAACCUAAAAAAUUUCACUUGUACAGCUAUUACAAAACUCUUGAAAUUACUAGAAAUGUCAACCCUAUUUUAUUUCACAAAACCCAAGUCAUCUGAAAACAAACUUGAAUUUGUAAAGCUCUUAAAAAUUCAUUAUAAAUCCAAAUCGCCCAAAACCAAUGCUCAUAGAAACCCUAU